UACGUAGGGUGCAAGCGUUAUCCGGAAUUAUUGGGCGUAAAGAGCUCGUAGGCGGUCUGUCACGUCGGCUGUGAAAACUCGGGGCUCAACCCCGAGCCUGCAGUCGAUACGGGCAGACUAGAGUGCUGUAGGGGAGACUGGAAUUCCUGGUGUAGCGGUGAAAUGCGCAGAUAUCAGGAGGAACACCGGUGGCGAAGGCGGGUCUCUGGGCGAGUAACUGACGCUGGAGGAGCGAAAGCGUGGGGGAGCAAACAGG
rnacentral:rRNA from 1 species